rnacentral:rRNA from 1 species
UGGGGAAUUUUCCGCAAUGGGCGAAAGCCUGACGGAGCAAUGCCGCGUGGAGGUGGAAGGCCUACGGGUCGCCAACUUCUUUUCUCGGAGAAGAAACAAUGACGGUAUCUGAGGAAUACGCAUCGGCUAACUCUGUCCCAG